rnacentral:rRNA from 1 species
GACGUAGGGGGGCGAGCGUUAUUCGGAUUUAUUGGGCGUAAAGAGCUCGUAGGCGGCUUGUUGCGUCGACUGUGAAAACCCGCGGCUUAACCGCGGGCUUGCAGUUGAUACGGGCAGGCUAGAGUUCGGUAGGGGAGACUGGAAUUCCUGGUGUAGCGGUGAAAUGCGCAGAUAUCAGGAAGAACACCCGUGGCGAAGGCGGCUCUCUGGGACGGUACUGACGCUGAGACGCGAAAGCGUGGGGAGCGAACAGG